ACACCUACGGGGGGCAGCAGUGGGGAAUCUUUGACAAUGGGCGCAAGCCUGAUCUAGCCAUGCCGCGUGAGUGAUGAAGGCCCUAGGGUCGUAAAGCUCUUUCGCCAGGGAUGAUAAUGACUGUACCUGGUUAAGAAUCCCCGGCUAACUCCGUGCCAGCAGCCGCGGUAA
rnacentral:rRNA from 1 species